AGGGACAAAUGACCCACCAGAAAAUGUGAACGUAUUUGUACAGAUGAGAUCACUGACUACAGCAAAGGAACUGCAAGGGAACUCAAGGCUUGAAAAUACAUCAAAAAUAACUGGAAUGAAAAAGAGCACCAUCAUCUUGAACACAGCUUGGAAGAGAAAGCACAGAUGGAGGAAGACAGCGUCACGCCCAUCACCUGAUUCCUUCCUCAGAGACGGCUGCCCCCUCUUUUAUACUUUCUGUACUGAACCUAGAAACAAUACCUUUUGCCAACUCAGAUGUGACAUUGUUCUUCCAGCUUCAUUUUACUUCCCA
rnacentral:lncRNA from 1 species